rnacentral:lncRNA from 1 species
GCCCUACACUUUAUAAGAGAUAUUAAUAUAAAUUUUAAAUUCAAACAAUAUGUUUAAGGUAUAUCUUCCCUUUUUUACCAACUACUCAACAUAACCUCUGUUCAUUUAACAGCUAUACCUUUCAUUGGUGAGCACACUGCUCAGGCCUUUGUGGUUGGUUCAUUGUUGAGUCACCUCCCCAGGACCCCAUCAGGACUAGGUGGUCUUCACCAUUGCCUUCAUCAUCUGGCACUGGGCUGUCACACACUAGGCUCUCAACAUGUGCUGAGUGGAUGGAUGGAGACAACAGAGAGCUGGAAUUCCAGCCCUACCCUUCUUGAGUCAAAGGCCUUGCUCUUCCUAUUAUCUGGCAGCCCUCCUUCCAGGGAAAGUAGCUGAUCAAUCAAAACCCUCAAACUCCCUUUGGCACUUUGAGCAACAUCUCAAUUUCUUUUCUCUUCCCCACCAAAAUAUAUUUGAUCCAAUCAUCAGACUGAAUGCAAUCAUCAUUCAAUCACUAAAUGACAGGUCGAAAGACCACGUUCACAUUCCAUCUAUCAACUCAACCAAAAGAUGAGGAGGAGCCUACGGAAGAAGUCAAGGAAGAAGAAGAAGAAGAAGUCAAAAAAGAUCAUCAUCAUUCUAUUCACCCCCGCCCCCGUAAGAAAAUAGAACUAGACAAAGAAUGGAUGCAGAACAAGACAAAAGUACAUCAAGGUGAUGGAAAAUUAAUUCUCUACUCCAACAAGAUCAUCUUCCAAAUUCUCUUUCCUAAUGGGACAGGCCAGAUACAGUAUUCACUGGAACAGAGAGAUGCUCACGUUGACGCAGACAGGCACAGUGUAAGUCUGUGA